rnacentral:rRNA from 1 species
AGUGGAUGGGGAGCAACCUAGUUGUGCGUGUGUAAAGGUAGUGCCAAGAAAAGCGGUGAUCAUGAUGAAAAUCAAUUCCCGGUACCCGAAACCGACACAGGUGGGCAAGUAGAGAAUACUAAGGGGCGCGAGGUAACUCUCUCCAAGGAACUCGGCAAAAUGACCCCGUAACUUAGGGAGAAGGGGUGCCACCGAGAGGUGGUCGCAGUGAAGAGGCCCAGGCGACUGUUUAGCAAAAACAUAGGUCUCUGCAAACUCGAAAGAGGAGGUAUAGGGGCUGACGCCUGCCCAGUGCCGGAAGGUUAAAGAAGUUGGUCAGUCUUAGGAUGAAGCUAGCGACUGAAGCCCCGGUGAACGGCGGCCGUAACUAUAACGGUCCUAAGGUAGCGAAAUUCCUUGUCGGGUAAGUUCCGACCCGCACGAAAGGCGUAACGAUCUGGGCGCUGUCUCGGAGAGAGGCUCGGCGAAAUAGGAUUGUCUGUGAAGAUACGGACUACCUGCAUUUGGACAGAAAGACCCUAUGAAGCUUUACUAUAGCUUGGAAUUGUGUUCGGGCUUCCUGUGCGCAGGAUAGGUGAGGCGUAGAAGGUAUUCUUGUGGGGAUACUGGAGCCAACGGUGAGAUACCACUCUCAGGAGGCUAGAAUUCUAACUUAAUUAAGGACAGUUUCAGGUGGGUAGUUUGACUGGGGCGGUCGCCUCCAAAAAGGUAACGGAGGCGUACAAAGGUUCCCUCAGACUGGUUGGAAAUCAGUCGAAGAGUGCAAAGGCAGAAGGGAGCUUGACUGCGAGAAGUACAGUUCGAGCAGGGUGGAAACACGGUCUUAGUGAUCCGACGGUGCUGUGUGGAAGGGCCGUCGCUCAACGGAUAAAAGUUACUCUAAGGAUAACAGGCUGAUCUCCCCCAAGAGUUCACAUCGACGGGGAGGUUUGGCACCUCGAUGUCGGCUCAUCGCAACCUGGGGCGGAAGUACGUCCCAAGGGUUGGGCUGUUCGCCCAUUAAAGCGGUACGUGAGCUGGGUUCAGAACGUCGUGAGACAGUUCGGUCCAUAUCCGAUGUAGGCGUGAGAAUAUUGAGAGGAGCCUUCCUUAGUACGAGAGGACCGGGAAGGACGCACCGCUGGUGUACCUGUUAUGAUGCCAAUUGUAAACGCAGGGUAGCCAAGUGCGGAGAGGAUAACCGCUGAAAGCAUCUAAGUGGGAAGCCCACCUCAAGAUGAGUAUUCUGGUGUAAGGUCACGGGAAGACGACCCGUAAAUAGGCACGAGGUGGAAGCGCAGAGAUGUAUGAAGCCGAAGUGUACUAAUAGACCGUCGGCUUGAC